rnacentral:rRNA from 1 species
GAUGAACGCUGGCGGCGUGCUUAACACAUGCAAGUCGAACGGGAAAUACUUUAUUGAAACUUCGGUGGAUUUAAUUUAUUUCUAGUGGCGGACGGGUGAGUAACGCGUGGGUAACCUGCCUUAUACUGGGGGAUAACAGCCAGAAAUGACUGCUAAUACCGCAUAAGCGCACAGAACCGCAUGGUUCGGUGUGAAAAACUCCGGUGGUAUAAGAUGGACCCGCGUUGGAUUAGCUAGUUGGCAGGGCAGCGGCCUACCAAGGCGACGAUCCAUAGCCGGCCUGAGAGGGUGAACGGCCACAUUGGGACUGAGACACGGCCCAGACUCCUACGGGAGGCAGCAGUGGGGAAUAUUGCACAAUGGGGGAAACCCUGAUGCAGCGACGCCGCGUGAAGGAAGAAGUAUCUCGGUAUGUAAACUUCUAUCAGCAGGGAAGAUAAUGACGG